GGGCCGGCUUUAGCUCAGCGGUUACUUCGACAAUGCUUCUUAUGGUGGAAACAUAACCACUCUGCGUGGUUCGAGACCCGCGGGCGCUCUCCGGCCUUUUA
ensembl:vault_RNA Vault Vault RNA